AUGGCCGAGUCGAGCCAGCUGCUCCCAGCUGUCGCGACGCUUCUAACCAUGUACUUCCUCCUCUUCCACCGGGUUUUGACGGCACUCCCACCAACACCAGCGGGCACCCUCUGUGUCCCCGUGAGCGGGACGCGCUUCUCGACUUCAAGGCCGACCUCACCGACCCUGGCAACCUCCUGUCGUCGUGACGAGGCGUGGAGUGCUGCCGAUGGACAGGCGUCGUUUGCAGCAACCGGACCGGCCACGUCGUUAAGCUCCAAGUCAAGAGCGACUGGGCGAUCGAAGGUGAGAUACGUCCCUCAUUGCUCACUUUACGACCUCUGA
rnacentral:rRNA from 1 species